UCUGGCGGCAGUAGCGCGGUGGUCCCACCUGACCCCAUGACGAACUCAGAAGUGAAACGCCGUAGCGCCGAUGGUAGUGUGGGGUCUCCCCAUGCGAGAGUAGGGAACUGCCAGAC
rnacentral:rRNA from 1 species